ensembl:lncRNA
UAAUAUGUGAUGGUUAUAAUGAUAGUUAGAACAUACAUGUGAUGGUUAUAAUGAUAGAACAUACAUGUGAUGGUUAUAAUGAUAGUUAGAACAUGCAUGUGAUGGUUAUAAUGAUAGAACAUACAUGUGAUGGUUAUAAUGAUAGAACAUACAUGUGAUGGUUAUAAUGAUAGAACAUACAUGUGAUGGUUAUAAUGAUAGAACAUACAUGUGAUGGUUAUAAUGAUAGAACCUACAUGUGAUGGUUAUAAUGAUAGUUAGAACAUACAUGUGAUGGUUAUAAUUGUUACGGCUUCCGUCGAAGGAGAGUCGGACCAAAAUGCAGCGUGGUUAAAUCGAGACAUCUUUAAUAACGAUGAAAACGAACAAUACAAAAACAACAAACGGAAAUGUGAAAACCUAUACAGCCUGUCUGGUGAAUACCAACACACUGAGACAGGAACAAUCACCCACAAAACACACAGUGAAACCCAGGCUACCUAAAUAUGGUUCCCAAUCAGAGACAACGAGAAUCACCUGACUCUGAUUGAGAACCGCCUCAGGCAGCCAUAGACUAUGCUAGACACCCCUACUCAGCCACAAUCCCAAUACCUACGAAAAAAACCCUAUACAUAAACACAACACAAAAUAAACCCAUGUCACACCCUGGCCUGACCAAAUAAAUAAGAAAAACACAAAAUACUAAGACCAGGGCGUGACAAUAAUGAUAGAACAUACAUGUGAUGGUUAUAAUGAUAGUUAGAACAUACAUGUGAUGGUUAUAAAAUGACAGUGUAGGUACAUAUUGUUACAGUACUUAACCACAAGUGUUACCAUUACAUAGGAUAUCUUUCUAUAGUUUUAUAAAAUGGUUAGUUCUGGCCUGGCAUUAUGAUUAGUUCAAACUAAAAGGUGUUUUCCAUUCAUGCUAUAUAUCACUGUAUUAUAUCAACAACUCUUUAUUAAUAUUACUUAUGAUUAAAACGAAAAGGUUCACAACAAAGUAUUCAGUGAUAAAGUACAUAUGAAUCUCAUCACAGCCUGAAGAGCAGUCAUGCAGUCACAGUCAGACAAGUGUCUCUACUCCUCCAUCAAACCCUAUCUACCCUACAUGCAUGUUCAAAUGGAAAACAGCCAUGUUCCCAUGUUUGUGGAGACUGUGUUCACGGUAAAGGCUGCAUAUAUCCACUCAAUUGGAAAUGUACAUUUCAAUCACACUGUAGUGUGUUUCAAUCGCUCUUUAGUGCUAUGUGUUGAAUGGAGCAAUUAUAUAGGACACAACUAAUAUGUAUACAGUAGGCUGGAAGUGGUGUUGGAGGGCCAGUAGGGGGCACUCUUCCCUCUGGUCUAAGGAGUUCCCAAUGCCCAGGGGCAGUGACAGGGACAUUGCCCUGCAUUAGGUGCAGCCUUUCAGAUGGGACAUUAAACAGAUGUCCUGACUGUGGUCAUUAAACUUCCAUGGCACUUAUUGUAACUGUAAGUGAUUUAACCUUUGUUUCAUGAAUAACUUAUUAUACCCGUCAAUUCCUAAUUGUUUUAUACUGUAUUUCACUCCUCACCUCUACACCAUUAAAGCUGAUGUCUGGUGAGUAUUCUGGCACAAAUGGUUACACCCAUAGUUGUGUACGACUAGAGAUUCAUCCAGGUCAUUUAGCAACAUUUGAGUUUAUGUCUUGUUUGGAAAUGACAUUCUUAUUCUGGAUUGGAUAGAUUUGUAUAACUCUUAUUUCUACUUGUAGGUAUUAAACACUACCUCCAACAGAGGACUUGUGGAAUAACUCUUACUUCUACUUGUAGGUAUUAAACACUACCUCCAACAGAGGACUUGUGGAAUAACUCUUAUUUCUACUUUUAGGUAUUAAACACUACCUCCAACAGAGGACUUGUGGAUUGGCAGUAAAAAUAACACACGGGCUACAAAGGAAAACUGUUACGUGUAGUUGAAUUACUCUGGACCAAGACAUACAGCCACGCAGUCAUCAACAUCCACUCUGUGUCUUUUUCUCCACACUCUCUCAAAGGUGCCUCUGGGAAUAUUAUCGCUUUCAAAAUAAAAGUCCCCAGGCUACAAACAGUGUCUCAAUACAUUACGGCAAAAUAAAAGUCGUAACAAAAGUAAGGCUACAGAUUUUUAUGUCAACAUAAGUCUAGGCUUUAGAAGUGCCAUGAAUUGGUAUGCGUUACAUCUCUGGUUGUUUUGCUCUGCUCUCUGCCGGACUCCUCUUAUCCUGUUGGUUCGCAUACCCCCUCACUUUCUUUCUGUAUUCUCGGACCUCACCAGCUGCCUUACACAGGCUCAGAAAUGCAUCAUCAUUUACCACAGGAAGUUCUUUACACUUGUCCUCAAAUUUCUCAUCUGGACAAGUCAACAGUUCCAUCAAUAAUCGUCUUGUUUUACCAAAACUUCCUUGGCCCUUUAGUUCACUCUUUAUCUCACCAUGGAUGUAUGCACUUGUUGCCCAAACUCUAGGAUUAAAAUGUGAUUGAGCAGUUGUCAGGCCAUCCUUAUUUAUUUGACACCUUGCUGGAACAGAGGUAAUUAUGGGAUUGUCAGCGGUAAAGACUGCUGUGAAUUGUUCACGCUCCUUAACUUUUUUGAUAAUUUUUGGCGACUCCAUUGUUUUGUCUUUUCCAAGAAAGCUCUCUGUUAGUGUGUCCUCCCCCUUUAGGAGUAAAACACAGAAGUUGGGCUCUGGAUAGUAUGUGCCUAGAGGAAAGUGUUUUGCUGUCUCAACUCGAAUUGCUCUGUCAACCUGGCUUGGCCUCUUAAAAGCCCUGUCCGGAAACUCAUAGCCUGUUGACAUCACCGUUGGGGGGAUGCCAGAGUGAGUGUUAGAGUGCUUUCUGACUAUCUCUAAAUAAGAGCUGUAAACUUGGUUAAAGUUUACAGUAUCAGCGUCAAUAAAACUGAAAUAGAUCAGAGCGUCAGGAUCCUCUCCUCUCAACUCUCUAACAAGCUGUUUAGUUUCUUCAUGAUCUUUUAGAUAUUCUCUGAUAUCCGUAUAUGGUAUACCUUUUAUUUUAUUUAUACUGUCUACAUAUUUAAUGUUACCAUUGGGUCCCCAGGUAAAUGAAAUCUUUUUAAACUUCAAUACCGUAUUCUCCUCCAUGUUCAUCAGCAUUGUCAGCUGUCCCCUGAGCUCAGGAGAAUCUUUGCCAUUGAGGCCAAUGAUGAUGGCCACAUCUUUCAGGUGCUCCUCAUCUUCCUCCUUAAAUCCUGUAUCCUCCAACAACUUCAGUAACCUUUGAACCUGUGACUGGAUUUGGUCCAGUCGGUUGUUGUUAAGUAGUGGGACCCUCAUGGGCACAUUGAUCAGAAACUUGAUCUUUUGAUCCUGGUUCUGCUUCUGGGUUUGUCAGGAGAAACAACAAAAACAAACCAUGUAAGGUUAGAAAAUGAUAAUACUUUUGGUUAAAGAAGUCACGACUCUGACCGAAGGUGGCUCCCCUUUCCGUUCGGGUGGCGCUCGGCGGUCGUCGUCGCCGGUCUACUAGCUGCCACUGAUUCUUUCCUCCCCCUCCUUAUGUGUUUAUUGAUUACACCUGUUUAGAGUUGGUUGUAAUUAGUUGGGCUUUAUUAGUCAGCCGGUCCUUUUCCGUUUCUUUGUGCGGGAUUGAUUAUUGUAACCCUGGUGUUUGUUACAGAAGAAUGUGUUGGUUUAUGUUCGUAUAUAGUGCUGGACUGUUUCGUUCCCCGUGUCUGGGGCAUUUUUGUUGUGAGCACCCAGUGUUUAGUGGGGUGGCCGUGGUUCACCGUGUGUGCAUUAAAAGAGCACUAUAUUGAACUCUCUGUUUUCCUGCGUCUGACUUCACACUCACGACACCCAGUACCUUACAAAAGGUCACUGUUAGAAAUUUGCAGUAUCCCUUGGAGAGGACCGAUUUAAACUCUGAAGAUCAUUGACCUCUCACUGUAUUUCAUAUAUUUGAUCCCUGAUGUUUUUCUAUUACAAUGACACUGUUGUUGGCUCACCUGACUGGACCCCUGGUUGAGCUCCUUCCUUCCAUCUUGG